ACUCAAAGGAAUAGACGGGGGCUCACACAAGCGGUGGAGCAUGUUGCUUAAUUCGAGGCAACGCGAAGAACCUUACCUGGGUUUGACAUGGUCGGAUUAACUCCGUGAAAGCGGAGCCAGGCCCGCAAGGGUACAACGAUCACAGGUGCUGCAUGGCUGUCGUCAGCUCGUGCUGUGAAGUGUCAGGUUAAGUCCUUUAACGAGCGCAACCCCUAUCGUUAGUUGCUCGGCGCAAGCCAGUACUCUAGCGAGACUGCCGGUGUCAAACCGGAGGAAGGUGGGGAUGACGUCAAGUCCUCAUGGCCCUUACAUCCAGGGUUGCAAACGUGCUACAAUGGCGUUGACAAAGCGAAGCGAGAUCGCGAGAUGGAGCAAAUCGCAAAAACAACGCCCCAGUUCGGAUUGCAGGCUGCAACUCGCCUGCAUGAAGUCGGAAUCGCUAGUAAUCGCGGAUCAGCUACGCCGCGGUGAAUGUGUUCCUGAGCCUUGUACACACCGCCCGU
rnacentral:rRNA from 1 species